rnacentral:rRNA from 1 species
AUUGAACGCUGGCGGCAUGCUUAAACACAUGCAAGUCGAACGGUAACAGGCCCUUCGGGUGCUGACGAGUGGCGGACGGGUGAGUAAUGCUUAGGAAUCUGCCUAGUAGUGGGGGAUAACCCGGGGAAACUCGGGCUAAUACCGCAUACGCCCUACAGGGGAAAAGCGGGGGACUUUCGGGCCGUCGCGCUAUUAGAUGAGCCUAAGUCCGAUUAGCUAGUUGGUAGGGUAAUGGCCUACCAAGGCGACGAUCGGUAGCUGGUCUGAGAGGACGACCACGCCACACUGGGACUGAGACACGGCCCAGACUCCUACGGGAGGCAGCAGUGAGGAAUAUUGCGCAAUGGGCGAAAGCCUGACGCAGCGACGCCGCGGUGGGG